rnacentral:tRNA from 1 species
GGGGCCAUAGCUCAGUUGGCAGAGCACCGCCUUUGCACGGCGGGUGCCGGGGUUCGAUUCCCCGUGGCUCCA